UACGUAGGGUGCAGGCGUUAAUCGGAAUUACUGGGCGUAAAGCGUGCGCAGGCGGUUUGCUAAGACCGGUGUGAAAUCCCCGGGCUUAACCUGGGAACUGCGCUUGUAACUGGCAAGCUAGAGUGUGGCAGAGGGGGGUGGAAUUCCACGUGUAGCAGUGAAAUGCGUAGAGAUGUGGAGGGACACCGAUGGCGAAGGCAGCCCCCUGGGCUAACACUGACGCUCAUGCACGAAAGCGUGGGGAGCAAACAGG
rnacentral:rRNA from 1 species